GUAAGGAUGAAUCUUCGAUAUUGACAAGAUAAUGAAAAAUCGAUUUGUCCUCUAAGAAGUACUGAACAG